GAUGAACGCUGGCGGCGUGCCUAAUACAUGCAAGUCGAACGCAUUGUGGUUGAAAUGAUAUGAAGAACUUGUUCAGAUUUGAUUUUCAACAUUGCAAUGAGUGGCGAACGGGUGAGUAACACGUGGGAAACCUACCUCUUAGCAGGGGAUAACAUUUGGAAACAAAUGCUAAUACCGUAUAAUAAUUAAAACCGCAUGGUUUUAGUUUAAAAGAUGGUCUUGCUAUCACUAAGAGAUGGUCCCGCGGUGUAUUAGUUAGUUGGUGAGGUAAUGGCUCACCAAGACAAUGAUACAUAGCCGAGUUGAGAGACUGACCGGCCACAAUGGGACUGAGACACGGCCCAUACUCCUACGGGAGGCAGCAGUAGGAGUCUUCCACAAUGGACGAAAGUACUGAUGGAGCAACGCCGCGUGUGUGAUGAAGGGUUUCGGCUCGUAAAACACUGUUGUAAGAGAAGAAUGACA
rnacentral:rRNA from 1 species